rnacentral:rRNA from 1 species
CCUACGGGUGGCAGCAGUGAGGGAUAUUGCUCAAUGGGCGCGAGCCUGAACCAGCGAAGUAGCGUGAAUGAUGACUGCCCUACGGGUUUUAAACUUCUUUUAUAAAGGAAUAAAGUGAGGCACGUGUCCCUUUUUGUAUGUACUUUAUGAAUAAGGCACGGCUAACUCCGUGCCAGCAGCCGCGGUAAUACGGAGGAUCCGAGCGUUAUCCGGAUUUAUUGGGUUUAAAGGGAGCGUAGAUGGGUUGUUAAGUCAGAUGUGAAAGUUUGCGGCUCAACCGUAAAAUUGCAAUUGAAACUGGAAGUCUUGAGUACAGUAGAGGUAGGCGGAAUUCGUGGUGUAGCGGUGAAAUGCUUAGAUAUCACGAAGAACUCCGAUUGCGAAGGCAGCUUACUAAACUGCCACUGACAUUGAGGCUCGAAAGUGUGGGUAUCAAACAGGAUUAGAUACCCGAGUAGUC